AACUAUGCUGCAUGGAGGAAAGGGCAGAGGGUUAAAAACAAAGAAAGAGACGGAAUAGGAUGAAGCUAAAAAUUAAGCUCAAUGACUCAGAUGGUUGAUGAAGCACAAGAAGUUCUCCAGAAGAAUAUAUUUGAGUAAAAUGAGACUCAAAAUGAGUUUUCCACAAACGCAGAACUACAGAAUGCAAGUUUCCCUUUGUCCAAAGCACACAACAUUUGGCCAUUCAACCAUUCUUUGCAAUAAAUAAGAUUCCAGCUUCAUGUGACUUAAGACUUCUUCAAGAUAGGGAUGCACACUGUAACAUGCCAAUGCUCAAAAUAUGGAAUAAUGACACAAAAAGAGACAAUUAUGCUUUGUGUAAAGGAAUGGAGGAUGGAUGGGCUCAGUUAUGCUGAAGAGUUGAGUAAUGAGAUGAUUAUUUAUCUAUCAAGAUAAACCAAAAUAAGCUACAGCAAAUCAGACUCCCCACUGUGGAAACUGCAGUCUGUGCUCUCAGGUUUUUGUUACUGCCUGGAUUCCCAUUCAAAGCUCGAUCUAACAAAGCCCUGAUGAAACCAGGUUUACAAAGACUUUCCCGUUACAUCAGUUGGGCAGGUCUCAGCAGGCUUGUGACAAAAGUACUAUGAAACCUGUUACAAACGGCGAUGCCAGCCCAAGACCAGCACACACACAGCAUGUGCAGAGCUGCAGUCUGGAAGUCUUUCUAACCAACAGUUGGUUUCUAAAUGCUGCUGAUAGUCUCUUCACCUGCUCCUAUAGGCUCCCAAGUAGCUGGUUCAGGACAUGACUGAAGACUGCUCUUUUCAUCGCAGACUCCUCUAAGCACUCCCUUCUGGAAUGCUGCUGCUGGUACAUUAUUUUUCCCAAACUUGCACUGGGGAAUACCACACCAAGAAACUCCAGUGCAUCUGCGUGCUACAGUAACGACCUGCUGAGAGCCACCCUCACUGAGCUACAGGACCUGAAUGGCAGCCAAGGGGAGGGCUCUCCUGGGAUCCCUGCCUCCUGAAACAAUCACAAACUAGGGAGUGGGAAUCAGCUGAUAGCAAACAAAGAAGAGCAAAGUUAUUGAGCAGGAAAGAGUACUUGACUAAUGAUGAGGUGAGUAAAGUACUGAGGAUUCAUUCCCCUA